CCCUUAGAUGUUCUGGGCAGCACGCGCGCUACAAUGGUCUUCGCAAACGGAUGCACUCUCGAAGGAGAAUGCCAAUCUUGGAAUCUAUGCCUUGGUCGGGACAGUUGCUUGCAAUUUUUCGACUCGAACCAGGAAUUCCUUGUAAUCGUGAUUCAUCACAUCACGAUGAAUACGUCCCUGCCCUUUGUACACACCGCCCGUCGCUCCUACCGAUCGAAGAGUUAGGUGAAUUGUUUUGAUCGAUAAGAUUUGACUAUGGUCAACUCUCGUUGUGAAAUUCUGUGAAUCUGACUGUUUAGAGGAAGGAAAAGUCGUAACA
rnacentral:rRNA from 1 species